rnacentral:rRNA from 1 species
AAACCAGCGCCACAAGUGGGGACCACAUUUAUUGGGUCUAAAGCGUUCGUAGCCGGUUUAGCAAAUCUUCUGUGAAAUUGUUAAGCUCAACUUAACAGCGUGCAGAAGACACUGCUGAACUUGAGACCGGGAGGAGUUAGAAGUAUGCUUGGGGGAGCGGUAAAAUGCUAUAAUCCCUUGUAGACUACCAGUGGCGAAGGCGUCUAACUAGAACGGGUCUGACGGUGAGGGACGAAAGCUAGGGGAGCAAUCCGGAUUAGAUACCCGAGUAGUCC